UACAGAGGUCUCAAGCGUUGUUCGGAAUCACUGGGCGUAAAGGGUGCGUAGGCGGUCGCGCAAGUCGGAUGUGAAAUCUCAGGGCUCAACCCUGAAACUGCAUUCGAUACUGCGCGGCUAGAGUGCUGGAGGGGAGACUGGAAUUUACGGUGUAGCAGUGAAAUGCGUAGAUAUCGUAAGGAAGACCAGUGGCGAAGGCGAGUCUCUGGACAGCAACUGACGCUGAGGCACGAAGGCCAGGGGAGCAAACGGG
rnacentral:rRNA from 1 species